rnacentral:lncRNA from 1 species
GGCCCACAACAAAUGCUGUCUGCACUGCAGAUGCAACUAAGGAGUUAGUACUGUGUUAUAUCUGUAUUUACUUGAAGGCCCAGUUGCCAACGGCAGUUAAAGAGCUGUGAGAACACUUUAA